GUCGUCGUGGCCGAGUGGUUAAGGCGACAGACUAGAAAUCUGUUGGGUCUCUGCCCGCACAGGUUCGAAUCCUGUCGGCGACG
rnacentral:tRNA from 1 species